rnacentral:rRNA from 1 species
GCCGAAGGAUGCAAGCGUUAUCCGGAUUCAUUGGGUUUAAAGGGUGCGUAGGCGGCCAGAUAAGUCAGUGGUGAAAUCCUGUUGCUUAACAACAGAACUGCCAUUGAUACUGUUUGGCUUGAGUAUAGUUGCUGUGGGCGGAAUAUGACAUGUAGUGGUGAAAUACAUAGAGAUGUCAUAGAACACCGAUUGCGAAGGCAGCUCACAAAACUAUAACUGACGCUGAGGCACGAAAGUGCGGGGAUCAAACAGG